AGGGCGUAUGGUGGAUGCCUUGGCAGACAGGACCGAUGAAGGACGUUUGAGGCUGCGAUAUGCCUCGGGGAGCCGCCAACAGGGCUUUGAUCCGAGGAUUUCCGAAUGGGGGAACCCACCGACCGUCAUGGGUCGGUACCGGCUUCGGCCGGGGGGUACGCAGGGAAGUGAAACAUCUCAGUACCUGCAGGAAAGGAUAUUCCGUGAGUAGUGGCGAGCGAAAGCGGAUGAUGGCCAAACCUUGCGCGUGUGAUACCCGUCGGGGGUUGCGCGCGGGGUGUUGCGGGAUCGCGUGCGCCGGCUCCGACGGGCCGGCCGGCAGUUGCAGAAAACCAUGUGUCAGGGGAACCGGGUUGAAUACCGGGCCGCAGAGGGUGAGGGCCCCGUACCUGAACGCGCAUGGUCUGCCGAUCGCGUCUCCCAAGUAGCACGGGUCCCGUGGAACCCCGUGCGAAUCCGCCCAGACCGUUGGGUAAGCCUGAAUAUUCCUGUCUGACCGAUAGCGAACGAGUACCGUGAGGGAAAGGUGAAAAGUACCCCGGGAGGGGAGUGAAACAGUCUCUGAAACCGUGCGCCUACAAUCCGUCGGAGCCCUUUUGUGGGGUGACGGCGUGCCUAUCGAAAAAUGAGUCUGCGAGUCAGUGGCAUGUGGCGAGCAUAACCCGUGUGGGGUAUGCGUAGCGAAGGCGAGUCUUAAAAGGCGUUUGAGUCGCGUGUCCUGGACCCGAAGCGGGAUGAUCUAGCCCUGAGCAGGUUGAAGCGCGGGUAAGACCGCGUGGAGGACCGAACCCACCUGGGUUGAAAACCGGGGGGAUGACCUGGGGCUAGGGGUGAAAGGCCAAUCAAAUUCCGUGAUAGCUGGUUCUCUCCGAAAUGCAUUUGGGUGCAGCGUCGGGUCAUUACGUCCCGGGGGUAGAGCUACUGGAUGCUUGCGGGCCCGUAUCGGGUACCAACAGCAACCAAACUCCGAAUACCGGUGACGCGUAUCCCGGCAGUGAGUCGGCGGGGGAUAAGCUUCGUCGUCGAAAGGGAAACAGCCCAGACCGUCGUCUAAGGUCCCGAAGCGUGUGCUAAGUGGGAAAGGAUGUGGAGUCGCAUAGACAGCCAGGAGGUUGGCUCAGAAGCAGCCAUCCUUGAAAGAGUGCGUAACAGCUCACUGGUCUAGUGGUUCCGCGCCGACAAUGUAGCGGGGCUCAAGCACACCACCGAAGACGCGGCAGUAUUUUGUACUGGGUAGGAGAGCGUCCCAUGAGGGGCGAAGCGGCCGUGUGAACGCGCCGUGGACUUCAUGGGAGUGAGAAUGCAGACAUGAGUAGCGAGAGACGGGUGAAGAUCCCGUCCGCUGGAUGACCAAGGGUUCCAGGGCCACGUUCAUCGUCCCUGGGUGAGUCGGGUCCUAAGGCGAGGCCGACAGGCGUAGUCGAAUGGAUGAACGGGUCGAUAUUCCCGUACCGGCUUUCAGCCGCCAAAACCGAGGCUUGGAGUACUAACCUCCGGGUCCGGGCUUACUGCUCCUUCGGGGGCGGGAUGCCCUGGCCUGUUGGGACCGAUCCUUGUAGUAGGUCAGCGCAGGAGUGACGCAGAAGGGUAGCCGGCCGCGGAGGUGGUCUUCCGUGGUCAAGCACGCAGGGCGUGGGACAGGCAAAUCCGUCCCGCAUGGGUCCGAGGUGCGAUGAUGGGGGCCUUAUGGCCCGAUAUCCGGUGAUCCCGGCUGCCGAGAAAAGCUUCGGCGUCAGGCUCAAAGCCGCCCGUACCCCAAACCGACACUGGUGGUCAGGUAGAGAAUACCAAAGCGAUCGAGCGAAUCCUGGUCAAGGAACUCGGCAAAUCACUCCCGUUCCUUCGGUUUAAGGGAGACCCCCGAUGGUGAACACACUUGCUGUGGGAGCUUUUGGGGGUGGCACAGACCAGGGGGUAGCGACUGUUUACCAAAAACACAGGUGCAUGCGAAGGCGAAAGCCGCUGUAUAUGCACUGACGCCUGCCCGGUGCCGGAAGGUUAAGAGGAUCCGUCAGCCUUCGGGUGAAGCGGUGAAUUCAAGCCCCGGUAAACGGCGGUGGUAACUAUAACCAUCCUAAGGUAGCGAAAUUCCUUGUCGGGUAAGUUCCGACCUGCACGAAUGGCGUAACGACUUCCCCACUGUCUCGACCAGGAGCUCGGCGAAAUUGCAGUACGAGUAAAGAUGCUCGUUAAGCGCAGAAGGACGAAAAGACCCCGGGACCUUUACUAUACCUUGGUAUUGGCGUUAGGCGCGGAUUGUGUAGCAUAGGCGGGAGGCUUCGAAGCGUGGGCGCCAGCUCAUGUGGAGCCGCAAGGUGAAAUACCGCUCUGUUCUCGUUUGACGUCUAACCUCGACAAGUCAUCCUUGUCAGGGACAGUGCCUGGCGGGUAGUUCAACUGGGGCGGUUGCCUCCCAAAGAGUAACGGAGGCGCUCAAAGGUCCGCUCAGCCCGGUUGGCAAUCGGGUGUCGAGUGUAAUCGCACAAGCGGGCUUGACUGCGAGGACGACGGUCCGAGCAGGGACGAAAGUCGGAGAUAGUGAUCCGGUGCCGGCGCACGGGCGCGGCAUCGCUCAACGGAUAAAAGGUACCCCGGGGAUAACAGGCUGAUCAU
rnacentral:rRNA from 1 species